rnacentral:rRNA from 1 species
ACUGCUCAGUAACACGUGGCUAAUCUGCCCUUGGGACCGGAACACCCCCGGGAAACUGGGGCUAAUUCUCGAUAGGUGAAGAACUCUGGAAUGAGUCUUUGCUUAAAAGACGUUUACGUUAUGCUCGUAGAUGUCGCCCAAGGAUGAGGCCGCGACCGAUCAGGUUGUUGGUGAGGUAAUGGCUCACCAAGCCUUUUACCGGUGCGGGCCGUGAGAGCGGGAGCCCGGAGAUGGGCACUGAGACAAGGGCCCAGGCCCUACGGGGCGCAGCAGUCGCGAAAACUUUGCAAUACACGAAAGUGUGACAGGGCUAUCCCGAGUGCCAUCCGCUGAGGAAGGCUUUUACCCAGUCUAGAACGCUGGGGGAAUAAGGAGAGGGCAAGUCUGGUGUCAGCCGCCGCGGUAAUACCAGCUCUCCGAGUGGUGUGGAUGUUUAUUGGGCCUAAAGCAUCCGUAGCUGGCUGAGUUAGUCCCUUGUUAAAUCCACCGAAUUAAUCGUUGGAUUGCGGGGGAUACUGCUCGGCUAGGGGACGAGAGAGGCAGACGGUAUUUCCGGGGUAGGGGUGAAAUCCUAUAAUCCCGGGAAGACCACCAGUGGCGAAGGCUGUCUGCUAGAACGCGCCCGACGGUGAGGGAUGAAAGCUGGGGGAGCGAACCGGAUUAGAUACCCGGGUAGUCCCAGCUGUAAACGAUGCAGGCUAGGUGUUUGGACGGCCACGUGCCGUUCUAGUGCCGCAGGGAAGCUGUUAAGCCUGCCGCCUGGGGAGUACGAUCGCAAGAUUGAAACUUAAAGGAAUUGGCGGGGGAGCAC